UAAAGGUAAUAGUCCAUUUAUUAGAACUUGCCAUAUGACAGAUAGUUCAUGUAAUAGUGGCUUCCUAAUUCCGUUCACUACGUACGAUUCCUCAUUCAAAUAAUAGGAAUUCACAUUUAGAUAAGUGGAUUCAAUCUCACAGGACUUUCAUUUAAUCCGGCACUAACUAAAAUUUCAUUCCAAUAAAGAGAGUUCUACUGUAUCAGAUUGUGCCAUGAUUAUCUGUAGAUUUUAGCCGAAGCUGAAAGUAAAGUUCACUCGAGUAUCGAUCUGUGAAAGUGUAAUACUACCAUUGUCUUAUUACAUGUUGAACUGGCCAGCCCAGUCAUGGUUAUUCAAAAACCGAUUUCCAAUGAAGUUGAAAAUAAAAUUCGAUAAUAACGAAAUUCAUAACCAAUUUAAAAAAUCUUCUUCGUGCUACGUUCUAAUUAGUUGUCCUUGAAAUAUUACAGUUUCCUGCUGCAUUAAUUUAAUACCUGUAACAUUUAUUGGAAAAUUGUGCAAUUUUUUUUAGAAUUGCUACGUUAUAUUUAUAUAAUACCGACAUAUUGAACGUCAUUAUUUCAUUAUACGUUUAAUACAUGUAAUAUUUACAAUUAUCUGUAAUAUACACUUUAAUUCUUAAUACAAUCAAUUGCAUCGUAUGGAUUUAAUUGUUCAAUAUGUUUGUUUACAAUGCUUAUUAAUAGAUUAUGAUUAUUUUCUGGAACGAAAGAUAAAUUCGAUUCACAUGUUGAAAUCAUGAAAACGCCAAUUCGAAAUGGUCAUGCAAAGAUCUUGCAAAAUAAAGCCGAAAAAACAAUUAGGAUGUUCGAAGAAGAGCGAUUAUUUGCACAGUCUAUUAUAUACAUUUUGAAAUUGACGAGUCUCGAUAUAAUGUGUAGCAUUUAAGUUAAAUUAAUAUCUAUGAGUCAACAUAGCGAACAUCAAGAUGUUUGGUGAACUAUAAAUAUGAACAACAUAUUUCUAUUCGUAAAAUGACAUUUAUCUAAGAGAAUAUAUCAUAAAAUGUAAUUGAAGCCUGUGAUGAUAGUAGCCAUAAAGAAAUUUAACGAUCAAUAAAAAAUUUGUGUAGAAUUAAAAGAAUAUUUAGUAUUUAGUAACAGAGAGCUAUACUAAUUUAGAAAUUGAUAUGGAAGUCAGAAACGUUGGUAGGAUUUAAAUCUCAGCACGACUAAACAUAGGUACUCCACUCGUCUUCCUUUACGAUCACAUUUCUUUUCCUUGGACAAUGGGUUUCGUGCAAAUGAAACGACAUUCGAGACAUUAACGUCGCGGCUAAAUGGUAGAAAUCAAGGGAAACAGUGGUGGCGAGGAGGAAACCGGAACGGACGCGAUCACGGGAACGUAACGUACCAUGGUAAAUAAGUAAUGUCGCGGGGGAAAGUGCACCGAUAGAGUAUCAGGUCGAAGGGAAGGAAGGAAAGAAAGAACUGGUCGGACAACGCGCCACGGAGCAGCCUGUAACGAUAACCGGCUUCUUCGGUAAAGAAUACAAAUUGUUCUAUUAUUUCCACGAACAAAGAAUCACGUUGUAAAAGAUUCGAAUCUGGAACAAGUCUUAUCAAAAAUAAAACCAACUGGUCGGUUUCAAAGGGAUAGUGGUUAGUAAGGAACGGAAUGAAAGAAUGGCGCUAUAUCGACUCGUGAUCGAUCAAUGUCGGAUGAUAAAGUUACGCAGCGUUAAUAUCCGGCCGUUAAUGAAGGAAGGUGGCAUUCGUGACAGAGUAGAUAUCGGUGGAAUGUCGACAAAUUAAAUAAAUCAGAUGAUUUAUGAUACAGAUUUAUUUGCUCACAUGGUCAUAAGUAUAUAAUAAUUGUAACCUAAUACUCUGCGUAUAAAUAUUAUCGGCCCGGGAAUUGGCCGUUUAGGCUGGUUAGAAUCAGCGUUGUUACACGGUACCAGUUUGUGAACUCAUUAGAAACAGACGUUUACCGAGAAAGUGUUGUUAGUAUGGACAGAGUAGCGUUGGUAUAGCGACAUUCAUGAACGACGUAUA